GGCCCCUGCCUGUCCCGGGGGGAGGCCGGAUCCUGGGCUGUGUCCGGUCGCCCAGUGCUCCCGGGGCCUGCGCUGUUUGAUUCGUGCUCCCGGCCGCGCAGCCCCCUCCGCGGAGCCGCCCCCGA
rnacentral:pre_miRNA from 1 species